rnacentral:rRNA from 1 species
CAGUCGCCACGGGAACACGGAGGGUGCAAGCGUUAAUCGGAAUUACUGGGCGUAAAGCGCACGUAGGCGGCUUGGUAAGUUAGAGGUGAAAGCCUGGAGCUCAACUCCAGAAUUGCCUUUAAGACUGCCGAGCUAGCAGGUGAGAGAGGUAAGUGGAAUUCCGAGUGUAGAGGUGAAAUUCGUAGAUAUUCGGAAGAACACCAGUGGCGAAGGCGGCUUACUGGCUCAUACUGGACGCUGAGGUGCGAAAGCGUGGGGAGCAAACAGGAUUAGAUACCCGCGUAGUCCCUGUCUCUUAUAC